ACGGCUCAGUAACACGUCGGUAACCUACCCUCGGGAGGGGGAUAACCCCGGGAAACUGGGGCUAAUUCCCCAUAGGCCUGAGGUACUGGAAGGUCCUCAGGCCGAAAGGGACUUAUGUCCGCCCGAGGAUGGGCCGGCGGCCGAUUAGGUAGUUGGUGGGGUAAUGGCCCACCAAGCCGAAGAUCGGUACGGGCUGUGAGAGCAGGAGCCCGGAGAUGGACACUGAGACACGGGUCCAGGCCCUACGGGGCGCAGCAGGCGCGAAACCUCCGCAAUGCGGGAAACCGCGACGGGGGGACCCCGAGUGCCGUGGCAACGCCACGGCUUUUCCGGAGUGCAAAAAGCUCCGGGAAUAAGGGCUGGGCAAGGCCGGUGGCAGCCGCCGCGGUAAUACCGGCGGCCCGAGUGGUGGCCGCUAUUAUUGGGCCUAAAGCGUCCGUAGCCGGGCCCGUAAGUCCCUGGCGAAAUCCCACGGCUCAACCGUGGGGCUUGCUGGGGAUACUGCGGGUCUUGGGACCGGGAGAGGCGGGGGGUACCCCUGGGGUAGGGGUGAAAUCCUAUAAUCCCAGGGGGACCGCCAGUGGCGAAGGCGCCCCGCUGGAACGGGUCCGACGGUGAGGGACGAAGGCCAGGGGAGCAAACCGGAUUAGAUACCCGGGUAGUCCUGGCUGUAAAGGAUGCGGGCUAGGUGUCGGGUGAGCCUCGAGCUCGCCCGGUGCCGUAGGGAAGCCGUUAAGCCCGCCGCCUGGGGAGUACGGCCGCAAGGCUGAAACUUAAAGGAAUUGGCGGGGGAG
rnacentral:rRNA from 1 species